GACGAACGCUGGCGGCGUGCUUAACACAUGCAAGUCGAACGCUGAAGCACCAGCUUGCUGGUGUGGAUGAGUGGCGAACGGGUGAGUAAUACGUGAGUAACCUGCCCUUGACUCUGGGAUAAGCCCGGGAAACUGGGUCUAAUACUGGAUGCUACAUGUCACCGCAUGGUGGUGUGUGGAAAGGGUUUACUGGUCUUGGAUGAGCUCACGGCCUAUCAGCUUGUUGGUGAGGUAAUGGCUCACCAAGGCGACGACGGGUAGCCGGCCUGAGAGGGUGACCGGCCACACUGGGACUGAGACACGGCCCAGACUCCUACGGGAGGCAGCAGUGGGGAAUAUUGCACAAUGGGCGAAAGCCUGAUGCAGCGGCGCCGCGUGAGGGAUGACGGCCUUCGGGUUGUAAACCUCUUUCAGCAGGGAAGAAGCCACAAGUGACGGUACCUGCAGAAGAAGCGCCGGCUAACUACGUG
rnacentral:rRNA from 1 species